UACAGAGGGUGCUAGCGUUGUUCGGAAUUAUUGGGCGUAAAGGGCGCGUAGGCGGCCCUGUGUGUCGGGUGUGAAAGCCCACCUCUUAAAGGUGGAAUUGCAUUCGAAACUACAGGGCUGGAGUGUCGGAGAGGAUGGCGGAAUUCCUGGUGUAGAGGUGAAAUUCGUAGAUAUCAGGAGGAACACCGGUGGCGAAGGCGGCCAUCUGGACGACAACUGACGCUGAGGCGCGAAAGCGUGGGGGAUCAAACAGG
rnacentral:rRNA from 1 species